GACGAACGCUGGCGGCGUGCUUAACACAUGCAAGUCGAACGGUAAGGCCCUUCGGGGUACACGAGUGGCGAACGGGUGAGUAACACGUGGGUGAUCUGCCCUGCACUUCGGGAUAAGCCUGGGAAACUGGGUCUAAUACCGGAUAGGACCAUGGACUUCACGGUUUGUGGUGGAAAGCUUUCGCGGUGUGGGAUGGGCCCGCGGCCUAUCAGCUUGUUGGUGGGGUAAUGGCCUACCAAGGCGACGACGGGUAGCCGGCCUGAGAGGGUGUCCGGCCACACUGGGACUGAGAUACGGCCCAGACUCCUACGGGAGGCAGCAGUGGGGAAUAUUGCACAAUGGGCGCAAGCCUGAUGCAGCGACGCCACGUGAGGGAUGACGGCCUGGUUGUAACCACUUCAAUAGGACGAAGACGCAAGUGACGGUACC
rnacentral:rRNA from 1 species